AGAUUCAUACUCGUACCUUUUGCAUCAUGAGUUAGCCAGAAAAUCUCAAGCAAAGAGCACAUUAGUUUGAUUCCCCGAAACUACGUGAGCUACUUCAAGACAGCCUAAAAUAGGGCGAACCCAUCUCUGUAGCAAAAGAGUGGGAUGAGCUUCGAGUAGCGGUGACAGACCUAUCGAACCUAGUUAUAGCUGGUUGCCUGAGAAAUGAAUAGAAGUUCAGCCUUUCGAGUUCUCCCCUCAACCCCGUCUUCACCCCCGGACAACCAAAGAAAUCGAAAGAGUUAGUUAAAGGGGGUACAGCCCCUUUAACACAAGAUACAACUUUCCCAGGAGGGUAGAGAUCACAUUCAAAUUCCAAGGUAAAAUGAUUUGGUGGGCCUAAGAGCAGCCACCCCUAUAGAAUGCGUUAAAGCUCAAAUAUAAUUACCACCCCUAAUCCUGACAACCCCAUCUUAACCCCCUAACCUUACCAGGCCGUCCCAUGCAACCAUGGGAGCGACCAUGCUAAUAUGAGUAAUAAGAGGGCAAAUCCGCCUCUCUCCACGCACAAGUGUAACUCGG
rnacentral:rRNA from 1 species